AUGGGGCGGUUGUUUGCGGUGGACGCCGCGGCGGCCUCGUCGGCCGCGGCCGCAGCGGCGCUGAACGGCGCGGUGGACUGGUGGAAAGACGUGAACGACUCGCCGAUGUGGCAGGACCGCAUCUUCCACGCCCUCGCCGUGCUCUACGGCAUCGUCUCCGUCGUCGCGCUUGUCCAAUUGAUCAGAAUCGAGUGCAGGGUGCCCGAGUACGGGUGGACGACGCAGAAGGUGUUCCAUUUCCUUAACUUCAUCGUGAAUGGCGUGCGGGCUAUCGUGUUUGUGCUGCGGCGAAACGUGCAGCUGAUACAACCAGAGAUACUUCAACAUGUGGUUCUUGACAUGCCUGGGCUUGCGUUCUUCACUACAUACGCGCUUUUGGUGCUAUUCUGGGCCGAGAUUUACUAUCAGGCACGUGCGAUGUCGACUGAUGGGCUGAGGCCAACUUUCUAUUGGAUCAAUGGGGUGGUGUAUGCAAUUCAGAUAAUUCUGUGGUUGGUUUUGUGGUGGAAACCAGUUCGAGUUAUGGUCAUAUUGUCCAAGAUGUUCUUUGCAGGCGUAUCACUGUUUGCAGCUUUUGGGUUCCUUCUGUAUGGUGGGAGGCUAUUCCUCAUGUUGCAACGUUUUCCCGUAGAAUCAAAAGGACGACGGAAGAAAUUGCAGGAGGUUGGCUAUGUCACUACCAUCUGUUUUACUUGUUUCUUGAUCAGAUGUGUCAUGAUGUGUCUCAAUGCAUUUGAUAAAGCGGCUGACCUUGAUGUUCUGAGCCAUCCGAUUCUGAAUUUCUUUUAUUACCUGCUGGUCGAGAUCGUACCUUCAGCUAUGGUUCUGUUUAUACUAAGGAAACUGCCCCCAAAACGUGGGAUCACGCAGUACCAUCCUAUCCAUUAG
rnacentral:rRNA from 1 species